UGAGUACUUUAGCGAUGUAAGGGAUCAGCGGCAGGUUCAGGACUAGAAGCACCAGAUUGCCAAUGUACAUCGAGAUGAUUACGGCCCAGAAAAUCUGUGGCUCAUCGAUCAUCAGGCGUGGCCC
rnacentral:ncRNA from 1 species